AGGGGCCGUCGGGUCCGUCCGAGCCGCCCGCCGCUCAGGGGCGCCUGGCCCCGGACAGCGCUGGCGAGGGCGCCCCGGGCCGUGAGCCCCCCGCCAGCCCCGCUCCCCCGGGGAAGGAGCACCCCCGGGACCUCAAGUUCAGCAUCGACUACAUCCUGUCCUCCCCAGACCCCUUCCCUGGGCUCAAGCCGCCCUGCCUCGCACAAGAGGGCAGAUACCCGCGGCUGGAGAACGUGGGACUCCACUUUUGGACAAUGUGAUGUGGAGCCACCCUGGAGGCCCCUGCAGUUCAGUCUGGGGUCUUCCCCGGACCCUCCCUGGAAAGACGAUUCCAGCCCCACCUUGAGCCAGGAAGCCAGGGUUCGGCAAAUCCUACAAUUUCUCCUGCAGACAGAAGGUCAGGUGCCACACCAGGCCUGGACUGGGGGGACAGGCGGAGGUGGAGCUCCUUAAAGAUGGAAGCAGGACAGCGGCAGAUUUGAGAGCAACCACCAGGUCCCUGAGUGCAAACUGACCACAGAUGAGCCCCUCCUCCCCACUGCUGACUUGCUGGGUAUAGCGGAGCAGCACCCCUCCAGAGAGCCCUCCUGGGCUGACACCUGCCCUUUGCACCCAGCUGAAAUAAAACUCUUGGAAUCUGCUGUC